AGGACGAACGCUGGCGGCGUGCUUAACACAUGCAAGUCGAACGGAAAGGCCCUUCGGGGUACUCGAGUGGCGAACGGGUGAGUAACACGUGAGCAAUCUGCCCCUAGCUCUGGGAUAGCUCCGGGAAACCGGGAUUAAUACCAGAUAUUACUACGGCCGACAUCAGCUGUGGUGGAAAGAAUUUCGGCUAGGGAUGAGCUCGCGGCCUAUCAGCUUGUUGGUGGGGUAAAGGCCCACCAAGGCGACGACGGGUAGCCGGCCUGAGAGGGCGACCGGCCACACUGGGACUGAGACACGGCCCAGACUCCUACGGGAGGCAGCAGUGGGGAUAUUGCGCAAUGGGCGAAAGCCUGACGCAGCGACGCCGCGUGCGGGAUGAAGGCCUUCGGUGUAACCGCUUCAGCAGGGACGAAGCGAAGUGACGGUACCUGCAGAAGAAGCGCCGGCUAACUACGCGCCAGCAGCCGC
rnacentral:rRNA from 1 species